rnacentral:misc_RNA from 1 species
CCUAGAGUUGUAGGCUUUGCCUGCUAUCUCUUACCCAUGUCUUUUGAGUACCUUCGUUUCCUCGGCGGGUCCGCCCGCCGAUUGGACAAUUUAGACCAUUUGCAGUUGCAAUCAGCGUCUGAAAAAACUUAAUAGUUA